rnacentral:rRNA from 1 species
GUUGGCUUAGAAGCAGCCACCAUUUAAAGAGUGCGUAAUAGCUCACUAGUCGAGUGACUCUGCGCCGAAAAUGUACCGGGGCUAAAUACACCACCGAAGCUGCGGAUUGAUACCAAUGGUAUCAGUGGUAGGGGAGCGUUCUAAGGACAGUGAAGUCAGACCGGAAGGACUGGUGGAGUGCUUAGAAGUGAGAAUGCCGGUAUGAGUAGCGAAAGACGGGUGAGAAUCCCGUCCACCGAAUGCCUAAGGUUUCCUGAGGAAGGCUCGUCCGCUCAGGGUUAGUCAGGACCUAAGCCGAGGCCGACAGGCGUAGGCGAUGGACAACAGGUUGAUAUUCCUGUACCACCUCUUUAUCGUUUGAGCAAUGGAGGGACGCAGAAGGAUAGAAGAAGCGUGCGAUUGGUUGUGCACGUCCAAGCAGUUAGGCUGAUAAGUAGGCAAAUCCGCUUAUCGUGAAGGCUGAGCUGUGAUGGGGAAGCUCCUUAUGGAGCGAAGUCUUUGAUUCCCCGCUGCCAAGAAAAGCUUCUAGCGAGAUAAAAGGUGCCUGUACCGCAAACCGACACAGGUAGGCGAGGAGAGAAUCCUAAGGUGUGCGAGAGAACUCUGGUUAAGGAACUCGGCAAAAUGACCCCGUAACUUCGGGAGAAGGGGUGCUUUCUUAACGGAAAGCCGCAGUGAAUAGGCCCAAGCGACUGUUUAGCAAAAACACAGCUCUCUGCGAAGCCGUAAGGCGAAGUAUAGGGGGUGACACCUGCCCGGUGCUGGAAGG